rnacentral:misc_RNA from 1 species
CGUUACUAGGGGAAUCCUUGU